GUUGAAGCUGGAGAAAUCCAAGAAUCUUGUCAAUGAUUUCUAUGCCGGUCGGUGGUCGAAGUUCCAACAAGAUUCUUCAAUAGUUUUCCAUUUGUAAGGAUUCAAGAAUUAUUUUGCUUGAUAUCAUUAGUCAGAUCUGAACCCAAAGUUCAGUGAUGAAAAAGCUGAACUUCAGAUGCUUAAAUAAGACAACAUGGAUUUGAUCUAACUUAUCAUAGUCAAGGACUGAUGUUGGUCAUAAAAGAUCAUUGUUGUGUUCACCAAAGCAUUGAAAGGUAGGAUCCUUGAGAUUGGGGUUGGCACAGCAAACUCAGAAUUCAGAUCAGACACAGCCUUCCAAGAUUUGGACUAUGUUGAGGUGGUUUUCUGCAGGUCUUGAAUGGAGGACAGCAUCAUCUGCAAACAUAUGAUAUGAUGGACAACUUGUCUUGUAGAACUCAAGAACAUUGAAUGAUUUGCAUGGGAAAUGAUGACAUGUUUUUAUUACCUAAGCAGGCACCUUCCCUGGGGUUGGUGCCCCCAUUCAUGUUUGUGCUCAUCCAAGGUCUGACUUUUGCACAGGGAAAAUAUAAAGAAACAGCAGCAGAGACACCUCUCAGCUCACCAAUCUUGAACUAACAAGGUUCACGUGCUGAUUAAGGGGCAUGUUCAAGGUUGAGAGUCACUUUCCUUCUAAACCAGAGGGGUUUGGAUGAUCACCAAGCAGCAGCUGUCUGGUCUCAAUCAAGACCUUGUAUUUUCCUUGAAUAAUGACUAUUCCAUGGCCUUGUCAACAUCAAACACCACCAUGUCCAUAACAAGUGUGUGUUUGUGUGUGUGAGCGAGAGAGAGAGAGAGAGAGAGAGAGAGAGGUAAACUAUUACUCCCACAGAUUCCAAUGGAAAGAUCUUAAGUAUAUAUAU
rnacentral:lncRNA from 1 species